GACGAACGCUGGCGGCGUGCCUAAUACAUGCAAGUUGAGCGCUGAAGGUUGGUACUUGUACCAACUGGAUGAGCAGCGAACGGGUGAGUAACGCGUGGGGAAUCUGCCUUUGAGCGGGGGACAACAUUUGGAAACGAAUGCUAAUACCGCAUAAAAACUUUAAACACAAGUUUUAAGUUUGAAAGAUGCAAUUGCAUCACUCAAAGAUGAUCCCGCGUUGUAUUAGCUAGUUGGUGAGGUAAAGGCUCACCAAGGCGAUGAUACAUAGCCGACCUAAGAGGGUGAUCGGCCACAUUGGGACUGAGACACGGCCCAAACUCCUACGGGAGGCAGCAGUAGGGAAUCUUCGGCAAUAGACGAAAGUCUGACCGAGCAACGCCGCGUGAGUGAAGAAGGUUUUCGGAUCGUAAAACUCUGUUGGUAGAGAAGAACGUUGGUGAGAGUGGAAAGCUCAUCAAGUGACGGUAACUACCCAGAAAGGGACGGCUAACUACGUG
rnacentral:rRNA from 1 species